rnacentral:piRNA from 1 species
UGUGUCUCACGUGCACGCCUGAUGUUGU